rnacentral:lncRNA from 1 species
ACUAAAGUCUACGUAGGGUGAUGUAAUUGAUGUCUUUUGAUUUUUCAAAAAAAAUAAAAAUAUCUAAAGAGUUAAUCAUUAAAAUAAUUUAUUUACAUCAAUCCAUCCAUUAUUCAAGUGAGGGGUGUAAAAACUGACAGCUUUAAAUGGAUGACUAGAUUUCUCCCAAAGGCCAUAAUUUUUUUUUAAUCAUACCAAAAUUACUCGAAGGAUCUAGACAUUAGUUGACAUCAUCACCUUAUACAGGUGUAUCUAAUCAGUAAAUAUAAUAAUAAAUAGAAAAGUUAUAUUUUUUCAGAAGGAUCCAGAAGGAACCGGAAUCGAGUAUGCCUUACUUCAAAUGUAACAACUUAUAUAAUGGUGUUGAGCAUCUAUAGCAUCGUCACCUCCGAUCCCCUUCCCCCUCCCCCAACCUAAUAGUUGUAAACAAAAUAUUUUGUGUAGCUAAUUUCAAAUUGAUGAUUGAUCAAUUGCCUUGUAAAUAAGAUGCCAGCUGACCACAUCAUAUUAUUCUAAUGUCAAAAGAUAGGUUGGUACAUUCUAUUAUUUAAUAAGAUUUUAAUAUGUUUGAGAGUUCUGAUUUACAAUUUUCUCUCUCAAAUCAGAGACCACAAAAUUCACACCCAUCACUAAAUCAUCUAAAUUACACCCAUCAGUGAAACUCACCAUGUAUCUAUCCUAAUAAUCCCGAAUAUUCUUUAAAUCAAUAUUAUAUUGAUCUAUGUCAUCUAUAUGUCUAAGAUCUAUCAUUUCUCGGGCAUAUAUCUAUCAUCAAUAGUGAACCGUACAUAUAUACAUACACACAUAUCAUAUAUGUUUUCAAUUGUAAAAACAAGAAAACUUUCAUUCAAAAUAUAGAUCUAGAUGAAGGAUAAUUAUUAACUGCUUGAUGUGCUGCCAGAUAUCAUCAAUACAAUACAAGAAUUUCUGGUCUUCUAAUACAGAGAUUGGGGUCAUGAGGGGAAGAUCAUUAAGGAGCCUUCGUGUGUGCGGGGGCCCAUCUCAUCUCUACAAACAUUCAGGUAAGUCAUUUUUCCAUCUUUAAAAUAUUCUUAAAUAUAAAGGAAUUAUUUAUGUAUUUACAAAAAUUUAGUUUUGAUGAUUUUUAAAUUCAUAUGUGUUUGUUUGAGAAUUGAAAAAUUGCUUCAUUAUUAGAUAAGUGUGACAAUUUUGAAGGAAAUAUCUCAUAUAUUGAAUAUGUAUGAUUUGUAUCAUGUUAAGAUAUAUGUUUUUUAAAUGUAUUUGGAUAUCUUUGCAUAUACCUUCUAAUGUGUAUGGUUGGAAAGAAUGUCUCAAUAUAACCAAAGAAUAUUUAUAUAGAAAUAUUUAUAGGGAAUUGUUAAAUAAGCUCCAAAGUUUACUAUUUAAGCUCCAAUUCAAUUUUUUUAUUUAUCCAAAUGUCAUUAUCAUCACUAAUAUGGAUGAAAUAUGUGGAGAAGGCAUAGGUAAAUAUGGUAUAAAUUUUGGAUUUGGAGCUUAAAUAGUAAACUGUGGAGUUUAUUUAUCAAUUCCCUAUUUAUAUUGACUGUUAUUAUAAUUAAACUUCAAAAUUUAUUUUAAUUACUAUCAAUAGUUCUAGAAAUUUUCAUGAAAUUAUAUUUGGAUAAAAUUUAAUAUUAUUUAUAACAAUGUCAUUAAGUCUUAAUUUACUUUUUCAUAGAUAUGACAUAUCCUUUUUAACCAAUUAUAUAGUACAACAAAUAAGCAAACAUGAGUGAUGUCCUCACUAGGAUGCAUGCGAUUUUUAUUUACUAAGAUUGAUUGUAACUUAUGAAAUUCUAUAUCACUCUAUUCAUUUCUUUCAAUACAUGAUUAUAUUUUUACAACUUACUAAUUGAUGGGGCAACUUGAUGUCUAUUUAUCUUAUGUUUCUCAUUAUUGUAAAGAAUAAGAAUAUCUGUGACUACUAAGAGAAAGAUUUAUUUAGAAGUUGUUGUAUAAAAUCUUCAAAUUAAAAAGAAUUUUGUUUAAUUUCACCAAAUAAUGAAGAAAAUGCUCCAGAAAAAAGGUUUUGAGAAGAUUAGUGUUGAGAAAUUGUCAGAGUAUACGAGGGACUUCCACUUGACAACGUUUUGGGAGGCAUCAAUGCUAGAGAAAGUGUUAGACGUUGCAAAUUGUGAAUCUAAACUAGUGCAACCAACUUCACAGGUUGCUGAUUCAUCCACAACAUUAGAUUUGGAGUAUAGUAACAGCUGGCAAGUCCAUGCUGUUUUUGAAUUUCGAAAUCGGAAACUAUAUUACUCCCUUUGUUUUGUUUUAUAAAUCGGUUUAUAAUUCCUCAUAUUUUUUAUGAACAGCCUUUAGUUUUCAAGAACAACUGAGAAAGAUGUCUUCCAUAAGAAGGGUAAGAUAUCCACUCUCACCAUCCAAUUUCAAAAAGGCAUGCAAACUAUAGCAUAAGUGCGCUCUUCUUAUAGAUAAUUGACUAAACCGUGAAAAUUGUUCUCGCAGCUUUUGUCCCUAUCCUCCAGUGGCCGGAAAGAACUCAUAUUCCUCACUUCCUCCAAGCAGCACGAAAGAUGGGUUGUUGAUUCUUCAACCGAGGAAUUUAAGGCUAUGUAUUAGAGAAAGAGAGUCGAAAGAUGGGUUUUUAAGUGUCCCUCCCUAAUUUUUGUUGGAGUUUAAUCUAAACUCUGAUAUACUUCAAUUGCUUUUAUUUCUUUUAGUUAUUUUAAAUAAGUUGCUGUGUUAGCAUGAGUGUGCACAGCAGGACUAGGUCGUAGUAAAAAAAUGUUAUUAAGAACAUGGUUAGAUUUAGACACACGUGAGCCAUAUAUAAUGGAAAACCUAAACUAUUCACACC